AGCAGCCGCGGUAAUUCCAGCUCCAAUAGCGUAUAUUAAAGUUGUUGCAGUUAAAAAGCUCGUAGUUGAAUUUCGGGGUCAAUAAGUUGGUCGUGCCAAUGGUAUGCACUGGCUUUAUUGAUUCCUACCUCUUGACGAACUGUGAUGCCAUUAAUUUGGUGUCGCAAGGAAUCAGGACUGUUACCUUGAAAAAAUUAGAGUGUUUAAAGCAGGCUUACGCUUGAAUACAUUAGCAUGGAAUAAUGAAAUAGGACGUUUGAACCUAUUUUGUUGGUUUCUAGGAUCGACGUAAUGAUUAAUAGGGAUAGUUGGGGGCAUUAGUAUUCAAUCGUCAGAGGUGAAAUUCUUGGAUUUAUUGAAGACUAACUACUGCGAAAGCAUUUGCCAAGGAUGUUUUCAUUAAUCAAGAACGAAAGUUAGGGGAUCGAAGACAAUCAGAUACCGUCGUAGUCUUAACCAUAAACUAUGCCGA
rnacentral:rRNA from 1 species